CAAUAGCGUAUAUUAAAGUUGUUGCAGUUAAAAAGCUCGUAGUUGAAUUUCUGUCAGGAGUGACCGGGCCUUUGGAUGAACUUCCAUUGUUUUUUGCUCUGUUUGUCAUCUCUAGACAUCCUGAAAUAUUUUUUAAAAAUAUUUCUCUUUUACUGUUAGCAAAAUAGGGUGUUCCAAGCAAAGCGUAGUUUUGAAUACAUUAGAAUGGAAUAAUAAGAUAGGACUUUGGUGCUAUUUUGUUGGUUUGCACACCAAGGUAAUGAUUAAUAGGGACAGUUGGGGGUAUUCGUAUUUAAUUGUCAGAGGUGAAAUUCUUGGAUUUAUGAAAGACGAACUACUGCGAAAGCAUUUACCAAGGAUGUUUUCAUUAA
rnacentral:rRNA from 1 species